rnacentral:rRNA from 1 species
AGCCAGACUCCUACGGGAGGCAGCAGUGGGGAAUAUUGCACAAUGGGGGAAACCCUGAUGCAGCGACGCCGCGUGAGCGAUGAAGUAUUUCGGUAUGUAAAGCUCUAUCAGCAGGGAAGAAGAUGACGGUACCUGACUAAGAAGCCCCGGCUAACUACGUGCCAGCAGCCGCGGUAAUACGUAGGGGGCAAGCGUUAUCCGGAUUUACUGGGUGUAAAGGGAGCGUAGACGGCGAUGCAAGCCAGAUGUGAAAGCCCGGGGCUCAACCCCGGGACUGCAUUUGGAACUGUGUGGCUGGAGUGUCGGAGAGGCAGGCGGAAUUCCUAGUGUAGCGGUGAAAUGCGUAGAUAUUAGGAGGAACACCAGUGGCGAAGGCGGCCUGCUGGACGAUGACUGACGUUGAGGCUCGAAAGCGUGGGGAGCAAACAGGAUUAGAUACCCGAGUAU